rnacentral:rRNA from 1 species
AGAGCGUAGGGUGAAUGCCUUGGCAUUAAGAGCCGAAGAAGGACGCGGUUAACUGCGAAAAGCCAUGGGGAGCUGUAAGCAAGCAUUGAUCCAUGGAUAUCCGAAUGGGGAAACCCGGCGGUCGUAAUGGGCCGUCACCGUUACAUGAAUAAAUAGUGUAACGGGGGGAACCCGGUGAACUGAAACAUCUAAGUAGCCGGAGGAAGAGAAAGAAAGAUCGAUUUUCUUAGUAGCGGCGAGCGAACGGGAAAGAGGCCAAACCGGGACUCUACGGAGUACCGGGGUUGAGGACCUGCGGAAUCGAAGUUGGAGAUAGUCGAAGACGGUUGGAAAGCCGAACCGGAGAGGGUAAAAGUCCCGUAGGCGAAAUCGAAGACGAGAGGCGGGUAUCCAGAGUACCACAGGACACGAGUAAUCCGGUGGGAAGCAGGGGGGUCCACCCCCCAAGCCUAAAUACUACUUAAUGACCGAUAGCGUAUAGUACCGUGAGGGAAAGGUGAAAAGAACCCCGGGAGGGGAGUGAAAGAGAACCUGAAACCCUGUGUUUACAAGCAGUGGAAGAACGAUCAAAGUUCGACCAUGUACUUUUUGUAGAACGGACCUGCGAGUUACGUUAUGCAGCGAGGUUAAGAUCUGGGAGGAUCGGAGCCGGAGCGAGAGCGAGUCUGAAUAGGGCGAAGAGUUGCAUGACGUAGACCCGAAACCGGGUGACCUAUCCAUGGCCAGGUUGAAGUGAGAGUAAAAUCUCAUGGAGGACCGAACCAGACGUCUGUUGAAAAAGGCGGGGAUGAGCUGUGGAUAGCGGAGAAAUUCCAAUCGAACCCGGAGAUAGCUGGUUCUCCUCGAAAUAGCUUUAGGGCUAGCCUCGUUUUAGUCUUAUGGAGGUAGAGCACUGAAUUUCCGCGGGGGCGUCAAAGCUUACCAAAGAAUAUCAAACUCCGAAUGCCAUGUAGAUGAUGAAUGGGAGUCAGACUGCACGAGAUAAGUUGGGCAGUCAAAAGGGAAAGAGCCCAGACCACCAGCUAAGGUCCCAAAGUGUGUGUUAAGUGGAAAAGGAUGUGGGAUUUCAAAGACAACUAGGAUGUUGGCUCAGAAGCAGCCACACAUUCAAAGAGUGCGUAAUAGCUCACUAGUCGAGAGGUCCUGCGCCGAAAAUGUCCGGGGCUGAAACACGACACCGAAGCUUAGGAAUGUAGUAAUACAUUGGUAGAGGAGCAUUGUUAGCGCAGCGAAGCUGUACCGAUAAGGAGCAGUGGAGUGCUAAGAAGAGAGAAUGCCGGAAUGAGUAGCGAGAGGAAGGUGAGAAUCCUUCCGGCCGAAUAUCCAAGGUUUCCAGAGUAAAGCUGAUCUGCUCUGGGUAAGUCGGGGCCUAAGGCGAGGUCGAAAGACGUAGUCGAUGGAUAACAGGUGGAGAUUCCUGUACUAUGUGUACCCAGAACUGUGGGGACGCAUGUGGAGAGCAUGAGCCGGGAAAGAGAAGACCGGUACAAGCGGGGUAGGAGUAAGGACAGCAAAUCUUCCUUACAAUCCGAAGACGUAAUGUGGACCGAACCAAAGUAGGGAAGCGUGUGAGCCAUGUGCCAAGAAAAGCCGCUAUUGUGAUACACAUACCCGUACCGUAAACCGACACAGGUGGAUGAGGAGAGAAUCCUAAGGCCGACGGAAGAAGCAUUGUUAAGGAACUCGGCAAAAUGACCCCGUAACUUCGGGAGAAGGGGUGCCCUGUGAAAGCAGGGCCGCAGAGAAUAGGCUCAAGCAACUGUUUAGCAAAAACACAGGUCUAUGCGAAACCGAAAGGUGAGGUAUAUGGGCUGACGCCUGCCCGGUGCUGGAAGGUUAAGAGGAGAGGUUAGCGCAAGCGAAGCUUUGAAUUUAAGCCCCAGUAAACGGCGGCCGUAACUAUAACGGUCCUAAGGUAGCGAAAUUCCUUGUCGGGUAAGUUCCGACCCGCACGAAAGGCGUAAUGAUUUGAGCACUGUCUCGACAAUGCAUCCGGUGAAAUUGAAGUACCAGUGAAGAUGCUGGUUACCUGCGCCAGGACGGAAAGACCCCAUGGAGCUUUACUCCAGCUUGAUACUGGGAUUCGAUACUGUAUGUACAGGAUAGGUGGGAGACGUUGAGCAUAGAACGCCAGUUUUAUGUGAGUCGCUGUUGGGAUACCACCCUUGCAGUAUUGGAUUUCUAACCUGCACCCAUGACCUGGGUGGGGGACAAUGUCUGGCGGGGAGUUUGACUGGGGCGGUCGCCUCCGAAAGGGUAUCGGAGGCGCUCAAAGGUUCCCUCAGAAUGGUUGGAAACCAUUCGAAGAGUGCAAAGGCAGAAGGGAGCUUGACUGCGACACCGACGGGUGGAGCAGGUACGAAAGUAGGACUUAGUGAUCCGGUGGUAUAAAGUGGGAUUGCCAUCGCUCAACGGAUAAAAGCUACCCUGGGGAUAACAGGCUUAUCACUCCCAAGAGUUCACAUCGACGGAGUGGUUUGGCACCUCGAUGUCGGCUCAUCGCAUCCUGGGGCUGUAGCAGGUCCCAAGGGUUGGGCUGUUCGCCCAUUAAAGCGGUACGCGAGCUGGGUUCAGAACGUCGUGAGACAGUUCGGUCCCUAUCCGGCGCGGGCGGAGGAUAUUUGAGAGGAGCUGUCCUUAGUACGAGAGGACCGGGAUGGACGGACCACUGGUGUAUCUGCUGUCGACCAACGGCAUGGCAGAGUAGCCAAGUCCGGAAGGGAUAAACGCUGAAGGCAUCUAAGCGUGAAGCCCCCCUCAAGAUGAGAUAUCCCUCAGAAAUGAGUAAGACCCCUUGA